ACAUCAAUAGCUUAGUGGUAGAGCAGGGGACUGGAAGGGUUAGCUCCAGUCCUGACAGCUUUGGUUCGAUUCCAGCUUAAUGGU
rnacentral:tRNA from 1 species